rnacentral:rRNA from 1 species
GACGUAGGAUGCAAGCGUUGUCCGGAUUUAUUGGGCGUAAAGAGUUCGUAGGUGGUUUGUUAAGUCUGAUGUCAAAUACCGAGGCUCAACCUCGGACCUGCAUUGGAUACUGGCAGACUGGAGUGCAGUAGAGGCGAGUGGAAUUCCCAGUGUAGCGGUGAAAUGCGUAGAUAUUGGGAAGAACACCAGUGGCGUAAGCGACUCGCUGGGCUGCAACUGACGCUGAGGAACGAAAGCCAGGGGAGCGAAUGGG